UGGCCUUUUUCCGCUGGACGAGCUUGGAGCCCCGGCCUUCGGGUGGUUAUUUUUGGGUAAAGCUUUGCCCAUAGACCAUUUUUGGCACACGGAGGCCCCUCGGAAAGUCUCGCGGCAUUCCGAGUCAGGCGGACGAAGUUGGCCAGCCCCACCCCCCAAGGCUAUAGCCCACCCGUUUUUGUGGCCUUUUUCCGCUGGACGAACUUGGCGCCCCGGCCUUCGGGCGGUUAUUUUUGGACGCUGCUUUACCCACGGCCUAUUUUUGGCACACGGAGGCCCCUCGUAAAGUCUCGUGGCAUUCCGAGUCCGGCGGACGAACUUGGCGCCCUGGCCUUCGGGGGGUUAUUUUUGGGAGCGGCUUUGCCCGCGGCCUUUUUUUGGCACAUGGAGGCUCCUCACAAAGUCUCGCGGCAUUCCGAGUCCGGCGGACGAAGUUGGCCAGCCCCACCCCCCAAGGCUAUA
rnacentral:lncRNA from 1 species